GACGAACGCUGGCGGCGUGCUUAACACAUGCAAGUCGAACGGAAAGGCCUCAGCUUGCUGGGGUACUCGAGUGGCGAACGGGUGAGUAACACGUGGGUGAUCUGCCUUUCACUCUGGGAUAAGCUUGGGAAACUGGGUCUAAUACCGGAUAUGAACUGCCUUUAGUGUGGUGGUUGGAAAGUUUUUUCGCUGCAAGAUGAGCUCGCGGCCUAUCAGCUUGUUGGUGGGGUAAUGGUCUACCAAGGCGUCGACGGGUAGCCGGCCUGAGAGGGUGUACGGCAACAUUGGGGCUGGGAUAAGGCCCAGGCCCCAACGGGGAGGAGCAGGGGGGAAUAAUGCAAAAGGGGGGGAAGCCUGAUGCAGCGACGCCGCGGGGGGGAUGACGGCCUUCGGGGUGUAAACUCCUUUCGACAGGGACGGAGCUGUUUGUGACGGUACCUGUAUAAGAAGCACCGGCUAACUACGUG
rnacentral:rRNA from 1 species